rnacentral:ncRNA from 1 species
AGCGCAUUGAGAGGACUUUUCCCUAGUACGAGAGGAUCGAAAAGGAUGUACCGCUGAUGUAUUAGUUGUCGUGCUCAUGAUAAACACUGGAUAGCCAAGUGCGAAGUGAAUGUUGAAAGCAUAUAAGUAGUAAAGCCAGCUCAAGAUGAACGCUCU